GACGAAGGGGGCAAGCGUUGUUCGGAAUUACUGGGCGUAAAGGGCGCGUAGGCGGUUCUUUAAGUCAGGCGUGAAAGCCCUGGGCUCAACCUGGGAGUGGCGCUUGAUACUGGAGGACUAGAGAGUGGGAGAGGUUGGUGGAAUUCCCAGUGUAGAGGUGAAAUGCUUAGAUAUCGUCAAGAACACCGAUAGCGAAGGCAGCUUACUGGGCUGUAACUGACGCUGAGGCACGAAAGUGUGGGGAUCAAACAGG
rnacentral:rRNA from 1 species